rnacentral:rRNA from 1 species
AACGCUGGCGGCGUGCUAACACAUGCAGUCGAGCGGGGACUUAGAGAUGAAGUUUCGGAUGGAUUUCUAAGUUCUAGCGGCGGACGGGUGAGUAACGCGUGAGCAACCUGUCCCUUACAGGGGAUAACACCUCGAAAGGGGUCCUAAUACCGCAUGAGACCACAGCAUCACAUGGUGCAGGGUCAAAGGAGCAAUCCGGUAAAGGGGUGGGCUCGCGUCCGAUUAGCCAGUUGGCGGGGUAACGGCCCACCAAAGCGACGAUCGGUAGCCGACCUGAGAGGGUGAUCGGCCACAUUGGAACUGAGAGACGGUCCAAACUCCUACGGGAGGCAGCAAGUGGGGAAUAUUGGGCAAUGGGCGAAAGCCUGACCCAGCAACGCCGCGUGAGGGAAGAAGGUCUUCGGGUCGUAAACCUCUGUCCUCAAUGAAGAGCAAAGAGACGGUAAUUGACGGAGGAAGCCCCGGCCAACUACGUGCCAGCAGCCGCGGUAAUACGUAGGGGGCAAGCGUUGUCCGGAAUGAUUGGGCGUAAAAGGGCGCGUAGGCGGCCCGCUAAGUCUGGAGUGAAAGUCCUGCCUUCAAGGUGGGAAUUGCUUUGGAUACUGGCGAGCUUGAGUGCAGGAGAGGUCAGUGGAAUUCCCAGUGUAGCGGUGAAAUGCGUAGAGAUUGGGAGGAACACCAGUGGCGAAGGCGACUGACUGGACUGCUACUGACGCUGAGGCGCGAAAGUGUGGGGAGCAAACAGGAUUAGAUACCCUGGUAGUCCACACUGUAAACGAUGAAUGCUAGGUGUAGGAGGUAUCGACCCCUUCUGUGCCGCAGUUAACACAAUAAGCAUUCCGCCUGGGGAGUACGGCCGCAAGGUUGUAACUCAAAGGAAUUGACGGGGGCCCGCACAAGCAGCGGAGCAUGUGGUUUAAUUCGACGCAACGCGAAGAACCUUACCAGGUCUUGACAAUCAGACAAAAGCUGUAGAGAUACAGUGUGGCU